rnacentral:rRNA from 1 species
GAUGAACGCUGGCGGCGUGCUUAACACAUGCAAGUCGAACGAAGCAUUUAUGACAGAUUACUUCGGUUUGAGGCCUUUUAUGACUGAGUGGCGGACGGGUGAGUAACGCGUUUGUAAUCUGCCUUAUAGAGGGGGAUAGCAGCCGGAAACGGCUGGUAAUACCGCAUAAGCGCCCAGGACCACUUGGUACUGUGUGAAAAGCUCCGGUGGUAUGAGAUGGACCUGCGUCUGAUUAGCUUGUUGGCGGGGUAACGGCCCACCAAGGCGGCGAUCAGUAGACGGGCUGAGAGGGUGACCCGCCACACUGGGACUGAGACACGGCCCAGACUCCUACGGGAGGCAGCAGUGGGGAAUAUUGCACAAUGGAGGAAACUCUGAUGCAGCGAGGCCGCGUGAGUGAAGAAGUAGUUAGCUAUGUAAAGCUCUAUCAGAAGGGAAGAUAGUGACGGUACCUGACGAAGAAGCACCGGCUAACUACGUG